rnacentral:rRNA from 1 species
AGUGAACGCUAGCGGAAUGCUUUAUACAUGCAAGUCGAACGGAGUUUUAUUAUGAAGUAGCAAUAUGGAAUAGUAAAACUUAGUGGCGAACUGGCGAGUAAUAGUUAGGAACUUACCGAGUAGUGGGGGACAACAGUUAGAAAUGACUGCUAAUACCGCAUACGCCCGAGAGGGGAAAGAUUUAUCGCUAUUUGAGAGGCCUAACCACGAUUAGCUUGUUGGUGAGAUAAAAGCCCACCAAGGCAGUGAUCGUUAUCUGAUCUGAGAGGAUGAUCGGACGCAUCGGGACUGAGACACGGCCCGGACUCC